AGCGGCAGCACGGGUACUUGUACCUGGUGGCGAGCGGCGGACGGGUGAGUAAUGCCUAGGAAUCUGCCUGGUAGUGGGGGAUAACGCUCGGAAACGGACGCUAAUACCGCAUACGUCCUACGGGAGAAAGCAGGGGACCUUCGGGCCUUGCGCUAUCAGAUGAGCCUAGGUCGGAUUAGCUAGUUGGUGAGGUAAUGGCUCACCAAGGCGACGAUCCGUAACUGGUCUGAGAGGAUGAUCAGUCACACUGGAACUGAGACACGGUCCAGACUCCUACGGGAGGCAGCAGUGGGGAAUAUUGGACAAUGGGCGAAAGCCUGAUCCAGCCAUGCCGCGUGUGUGAAGAAGGUCUUCGGAUUGUAAAGCACUUUAAGUUGGGAGGAAGGGCAGUUACCUAAUACGUAUCUGUUUUGACGUUACCGACAGAAUAAGCACCGGCUAACUCUGUGCCAGCAGCCGCGGUAAU
rnacentral:rRNA from 1 species